AUGAAUCAAUCGAAUCAGAAAAUAGAUCCCUGUCACACUUUGAGAAGCAGCGGAAACUGGGAAGAAAAUUGUAUGACACAAGAAGAGAUACUUUUAGAAGCAGCAGAAACAGGUUCCCCUUGUAUAUCUCUUUCUACCUUUACCCAAACAUAUAUUAAAAAAACAAGUUUUGAACGAAUAUUUAUUAAUUAUCUUUGUAUAUUUAUAUUUCUAGAGAUUAUGAGCACAACAAAUCUUUUCUUUCGAGAGCACUCAAAGCACGUGCCUUACUUUUAUAGAAGAGAGCAAAACAAUUUACAAGAGGUCUAG
rnacentral:rRNA from 1 species